rnacentral:rRNA from 1 species
CCUACGGGGGGCUGCAGUGGGGAAUAUUGCACAAUGGGGGAAACCCUGAUGCAGCAACGCCGCGUGAGCGAUGAAGGCCUUCGGGUCGUAAAGCUCUGUCCUAAGGGAAGAAUACUGACGGUACCUUAGGAGGAAGCCCCGGCUAACUACGUGCCAGCAGCCGCGGUAAUACGUAGGGGGCUAGCGUUAUCCGGAAUUACUGGGCGUAAAGGGUGCGUAGGCGGCCCUUUAAGUCAGAGGUGAAAGGCUACGGCUCAACCGUAGUAAGCCUGUGAAACUGUAGGGCUUGAGUGCAGGAGAGGGGAGUGGAAAUCGGAGUGGUGCGGUGAAAUGUGUAGAUAUUGGGCGGAACAACAGUUGUGAAGGGGGCUGUCUGGACUGGAACCUACGCGGCGGGGCGAAGGAGAGGGGAGCGAACAAAAAUAGAUACCCGUGUAGUC